rnacentral:rRNA from 1 species
GGCUUAACACAUGCAAGUCGAGGGGCAGCAUGGUCUUAGCUUGCUAAGGCCGAUGGCGACCGGCGCACGGGUGAGUAACACGUAUCCAACCUGCCGUCUACUCUUGGACAGCCUUCUGAAAGGAAGAUUAAUACAAGAUGGCAUCAUGAGUCCACAUGUUCACAUGAUUAAAGGUAUUCCGGUAGACGAUGGGGAUGCGUUCCAUUAGAUAGUAGGCGGGGUAACGGCCCACCUAGUCUUCGAUGGAUAGGGGUUCUGAGAGGAAGGUCCCCCACAUUGGAACUGAGACACGGUCCAAACUCCUACGGGAGGCAGCAGUGAGGAAUAUUGGUCAAUGGGCGAGAGCCUGAACCAGCCAAGUAGCGUGAAGGAUGACUGCCCUAUGGGUUGUAAACUUCUUUUAUAAAGGAAUAAAGUCGGGUAUGGAUACCCGUUUGCAUGUACUUUAUGAAUAAGGAUCGGCUAACUCCGUGCCAGCAGCCGCGGUAAUACGGAGGAUCCGAGCGUUAUCCGGAUUUAUUGGGUUUAAAGGGAGCGUAGAUGGAUGUUUAAGUCAGUUGUGAAAGUUUGCGGCUCAACCGUAAAAUUGCAGUUGAUACUGGAUAUCUUGAGUGCAGUUGAGGCAGGCGGAAUUCGUGGUGUAGCGGUGAAAUGCUUAGAUAUCACGAAGAACUCCGAUUGCGAAGGCAGCCUGCUAAGCUGCAACUGACAUUGAGGCUCGAAAGUGUGGGUAUCAAACAGGAUUAGAUACCCUGGUAGUCCACACGGUAAACGAUGAAUACUCGCUGUUUGCGAUAUACAGCAAGCGGCCAAGCGAAAGCGUUAAGUAUUCCACCUGGGGAGUACGCCGGCAACGGUGAAACUCAAAGGAAUUGACGGGGGCCCGCACAAGCGGAGGAACAUGUGGUUUAAUUCGAUGAUACGCGAGGAACCUUACCCGGGCUUAAAUUGCAGAUGAAUUACGGUGAAAGCCGUAAGCCGCAAGGCAUCUGUGAAGGUGCUGCAUGGUUGUCGUCAGCUUGUGCCGUGAGGUGUCGGCUUAAGUGCCAUAACGAGCGCAACCCUUGUUGUCAGUUACUAACAGGUUCCGCUGAGGACUCUGACAAGACUGCCAUCGUAAGAUGUGAGGAAGGUGGGGAUGACGUCAAAUCAGCACGGCCCUUACGUCCGGGGCUACACACGUGUUACAAUGGGGGGUACAGAGGGCCGCUACCACGCGAGUGGAUGCCAAUCCCAAAAACCUCUCUCAGUUCGGACUGGAGUCUGCAACCCGACUCCACGAAGCUGGAUUCGCUAGUAAUCGCGCAUCAGCCACGGCGCGGUGAAUACGUUCCCGGGCCUUGUACACACCGCCCGUCAAGCCAUGGGAGCCGGGGGUACCUGAAGUGCGUAACCGCGAGGAGCGCCCUAGGGUAAAACUGGUGACUGGGGCUAAGUCAUAACA